GGUUUAGACUAUGUUGUCUAUAUCCCCUGGAUCCUCUAUGGAGGAGGAAAUAAAUGGUUUCACCAAAAGAUAUGAAAUGUCGCCAAAUUCUGCACCGGAGUGUAAGCGACUUGUGGUGUGUUUAUGUAUUUUCGAAGGGAAAAACGUGCGAGAUUCCACUGGAAAGUUGCUGGUGUUUUGAUUUAUCAUGAAGAAAACGGGUAUGCGAAACAAAGGCUGCGAGCCAAACGGCAACGCUGGAUGCUUCAGUUGUAUGUAUGCCAUAAGCAGUUGACCGAUAUAACUGGCCUCAAGUACCAUAAGACAUGAGGCAGCAUGUGUCCCUGGAGGAGAUACAGCGGGCAACCAGCAGCAGGCAAGAGAGGGCCACCCCCAAGGAGCACCGCGGCGCAGCUGAGGAGCAAAGGGGUUUUCCUAGUGCUGUGCACAUGCGACACUGCUUUCAUUGUUUUUAGCGGAGCACAACUUGCCGUUCAGUUAAUAUAUACUCCAAAUUAAAGUGCUGUGCAAUUCACUAAUAGUAUUUUUUUUUUUUUUUUUUUUUUUUGUAUACAUUGGAGAAAUUUGAUAUUUCAAAUGCGUUUACCAUAAAAAUAUUUUUGGUACAUACUGAUUAUUCUGUUUAAAUGUUUAUUUUUUCCAUCUUUUCAGUCUUUGCGAUGACCUGGAGCUGAACGGAAAAUGUUCCCUGAUUCGAACCAUCGCA